GGAGAGGUGUCCGAGUGGUCGAUGGUGCCUGACUCGAAAUCAGGUGUGGGGAAACUCACCCGGGGUUCGAAUCCCUGCCUCUCCG
rnacentral:tRNA from 1 species